rnacentral:rRNA from 1 species
AACGACUCUCGACAACGGAUAUCUCGGCUCUCGCAUCGAUGAAGAACGUAGCGAAAUGCGAUACUUGGUGUGAAUUGCAGAAUCCCGUGAACCAUCGAGUCUUUGAACGCAAGUUGCGCCCGAAGCCACUAGGCUGAGAGCACGUCUGCCUGGGUGUCACGC